rnacentral:misc_RNA from 1 species
GCUGACCUAAAAGGGACUUUGGUAUGAUAACAUAUGCAAUUAGUAUGCUAUUGAUUUUCACUACUCAAAUUGUAACACGGGAAUAUUCUGAAAGAUAUUAAGACUUUUCAUAAAGGUUCAUAAAAUUUGGUAGCUCAGAUCAGAACAAUAAGCUGAAUUGCAUGAGUGGUCUUCAUUGCUUUCAAAGUUUGAGAUAUGAAAAUGAAAUUCCUUAUUAUUUUUUGGCAUAGCUUUAUGUAUUUGAGCAAUAUAUUUCAAUGGGACUGGACAGUGAGUUGCCAUUUGUGUAAUGUUAGAAUCCCUUAAUUAGUG